rnacentral:rRNA from 1 species
GACGAACGCUGGCGGCGUGCUUAACACAUGCAAGUCGAACGGAAAGGCCUGCUUUCCCUUGUGGAUUGCGGGUGCUCGAGUGGCGAACGGGUGAGUAACACGUGAGUGAUCUGCCCCCAACUUGGGUAUAAGCCUGGGAAACUGGGUCUAAUUCCCGAUAGGACUGCAGGGUGGUGCCUGUGGUGGAAAACGAUUUUCUAGUGGUUGGGGAUGAGCUCGCGGCCUAUCAGCUUGUUGGUGGGGUAAUGGCCUACCAAGGCGGCGACGGGUAGCCGGCCUGAGAGGGUGGACGGCCACAUUGGGACUGAGAUACGGCCCAGACUCCUACGGGAGGCAGCAGUGGGGAAUAUUGCACAAUGGGCGGAAGCCUGAUGCAGCGACGCCGCGUGGGGGAUGACGGCCUUCGGGUUGUAAACUCCUUUCGACCGCGAGGAAGCCACCUGGUUGGAAGGGUGGUGACGGUAGUGUAGAAGAAGCACCGGCUAACUACGUG